GCCAAAGUAUAGAAAAGCCUUAUUUUAGCAACUUAAUCUCUGGACUAAUAAGAAUUCACAAAUAGGAUCACUUAUGAACCUAGACCGUAUUCCAUACUCUCUUUUGCUUGUCACAAUACUGUAUCCUAUUCAGAAGUAGUUGCUCGUAGUUAUUGUAUAAUUUUGCUCCCUAAAGGAGCAUGUUUGGUAAUUAAUUUUGGUGACAAGAUACUGGAUUUAAUGGUUUAGACGAUUUUAGGUUAUAGACAAUAAUUACAAUAAUUUAUUAUUAAGGAAAAGAAAAGAAAGGAGAUUGCAACAUGCAGGAGGAAAAAAAAUAUUUUUAAGAAAGAAAAAGAAGGAUGUUGAGUAACACUUAAGGAAACAAUUUGAUAAGCAAUGUCCUCUGGUUAAUUUUAAUAAUGCUAAAAGAGACUCCUCUAAAAGCCCGUGAAGCAGAAACCAAGAAGCCGAGAUAGCUGCCUUGUCCAAUGACAAAUUAAAGGACAAACCUGGUUUUUAAAUUGUUGGGCACUACUUCUAAUUCA
rnacentral:misc_RNA from 1 species